UAAAGGGUGAAGUUAUGCAUACCGUUACCAGGAACUAGCCAGUACCAUCAGGCAGGUUCGUGGUGUGCAGGUGAAGGGGAUGAAAGGGAAGCCAGACAGCUUCGAGGUGUCACUGGAUGGUCAGUUGAUCUACUCCAAGCUUGAAACUGGAAAGUUUCCUGUAACUGCAGAGAUAAUAAAGACAGUGAAGAUGAUGGUGCAUGAAGAAGAAAAUAUGGCGGAAACAUCAGAAAACCAUCAUAGAAGAUGCAUUCUCUUCUAGAGGACGAACCAUAGAACAAUGGCCCAAAGGAAAACUCAAUACAAAGUCAAUACACUCACAUUUUAUUGUACCAGUUAUGACCAUUUGAUGACACUGGUUGCCAGACAAACGGAGCUGACGCCAUGUUGUAUUAGUGUGAAUGCAAAUGGAUGGUGAGAGCAACUUCAGGUUAUGAUCGGCUCUUCUGUUUAUGAAUGUACACACUGAAACGUGUAAGGUGUGUACAUGAUACCGAAUGAAGACUUUUGGCCGACAGGAAGCUGGACCACUGCUCUCAUCAGCCUGUAUCAGCUGCAUUCAGUAGGAAUCUGUAGGUGGGUCUGUUAUAACUAAAUGCUAUCAACCUCUCAUCUUAGCUUAGCAUGAAGCCUUUUCUGUGCAGGAUUAAAAAGCUGCGAUUGAACCAAACUGAGAGUUGACAAGUGUCAAACUGUCCUUACAGUAAUUAAUAAAGAAAUUAAUGCAUUAAUGUGGGCUUUGUCU
rnacentral:lncRNA from 1 species